rnacentral:snRNA from 1 species
AUCGCUUCUCGGCCUUUUGGCUAAGAUCAAGUGUAGUUUCCUGACCAGACUAGUCUGAAAAUUCUUAAAAAAUGUCUAAGACCUUCAAGAUGAGCUAUGAAUUCAUGUACCCACUUGAUUGGGUGUUUCCUGAGAGCCCACUGUGUU